CGUUCCAACUCAUCCUGACCUGGUGGCUGCACAGGUUCUGGUGGCGGCAUAGCCAAGGCUCUAAUGUAUAAAAACACAAGAUUAACUAAAAGGCCCACCACAGAACUUCCAAUGUCAAGGUAUUCGAAUACUGUUUUUUGCUAGUGCACCAAUAAUACCUGCUACAAAAAUACGCGUGCCAUAAACACCCGCCUGCCUGCAGCGUCCUCAACUAACUAGGCCCAAAUCCAUUUUAUAUUAUUUUAUACAUCUACGGUUAUUCAUUGUGAGCCCUUGAGUACUGUUAAAAAAAUAAUUAUACUCAAGACGAAAAUAUUUUGAAAAUCGCCCCAGACGACGAAGAUAACCAGGGUACUUAAAUCACCUACAGACCUAAACAAGGGAGUAGCCCGCACAUGCUGCGGCUCCGGCGAACUGGCACUGGAUAUUUCCGAUGGAGACGGGGACGGGCCCACGCUGGGCGUCUGCGGAAC